GAAGAGGAGGAGAGGCGGGAGGUUAUACUUAUCGGCUGUUGUGAUUGGCUGCCAGAACCAGCCUCGCUCUGCCAUUGGCUCUCAGCGCUGUCACUCCGGAUAUGUUAUCUCCGCUUCCCGCGCCAUUCGGCGUGCACGCGCAAGACGAGCAGGCACGUAACCGCUUGGAGACCGUCUGGAGUGUGUCUGAAAUUGAUAAAAUUGGAGAUGGAGUUUUUUAACAUCUCUUUGCUCAUUUACAAGGAAGCCGUCUGUUGGAAACGGGAAUUUCCUCUCUCCACCCGAAACGCCUUCGCCCAUGAGUCGCCACGCUCAGCCCCAAAAUAAUUUUUAGAUAAACGCUGUGAAAGUUUUUUUCUUCUGCAGUCUAUCAGCAGACAGCUCUUUAUGCACAGGGGGACCAGACUUCAGAGUUCAAGAGGAGUGCACCAUCCAGAAGGCAGUCUGAACCAGCAGAGAAAAGGCCUGUCCCAAACCUGAUCCAGUGUCUGACAAAAAUGAUUGGAAUUGCAAUUAGAAAGGAAAUCCGUGUUUUCAUGCAGCCUGUCAUGCCUUCAUGUCUUCGACGCUGGAGUGUGUUCGCCCACAUAGUAUGGCUGCUACUUCAUAACAACUCUAUUGCAUGGCAUUCCACAUCCAAACUGCAGGGUGGAGAAUUUUCAGUGUAGAGAGCUGGUGGUGGACUAGGAGGAAGAUGUCAUGCUAAGGAUGGGUUUUGGUGAUGAUGUUGAUGCAGCAUCGAGCUCUCACUUUGUGCCUCUGUCAGCUAUGAUGCGUAACCACAAAGUGAGUGACAGGCCAGUCCCCGGGGAGAGCAGGGGGCCUGAGAAGCACAGGCUCUUUUGAGAAGCUGCAAGGAAGACUGACCGUCGUGGAGACAGUGCUGGGAGCAGCCCUAUCUGCUCUAAUGCUAGUCACUGGCCGUUAGACAUGGCGUUCAAAGACUAGUGGUGCAAGUAUGGAAAUGCAGAUAAGGCAUUGUUGAGGAAACAUGCCUGGGAAUUGUUCAAGGCUUUCCCUUGCAUAAUGUUUGGCUGCUUUUGCAAAUGUUUUAAUCUCAAAACCCAUGAAUUUGAUCCUCCUCGAAUCUGAUCCUGAACCGCCCAUAGAAUGAGUGGGUGUUUGCAUGGAAACGAUUGUCAUGCUAUUGAAAUUAAUGUUUGUGAUCACAUUUGUGAAUAUUUGACAUCUGGCAACAUUUAAUUAAAACUACUAUUGUAUGUAUUUCUGUUUUCUAAACACUUUUCGCUAGAAAUGCAUUAAUAGUAUUUCCUGCAGAAGCUCAGCAUUGAUUGAAGGUCACGUUUACUGUUUUUGUGACAAGAUUUGAACCCUGUGCCUCAUAUAAAGAUGUCGGAAACUUGUUUUUGUAUAAUCUUCAAGGUUUAUUUACUCUUCUUUUGCACUUUUCUGGAGGCAGUUAAUUACACAAUUAAUACAUGAUACAAAUUAUGUACAUUUAUACCAAAGAAUACUUCCAACAUAAAAU